rnacentral:rRNA from 1 species
ACGAACGCUGGCGGCGUGCUUAACCCAUGCAAGUCGAACGGAAAGGCCCUGCUUUUGUGGGGUGCUCGAGUGGCGAACGGGUGAGUAACACGUGAGUAACCUGCCCUUGACUUUGGGAUAACUUCAGGAAACUGGGGCUAAUACCGGAUAGGAGCUCCUGCUGCAUGGUGGGGGUUGGAAAGUUUCGGCGGUUGAGGAUGGACUCGCGGCUUAUCAGCUUGUUGGUGGGGUAGUGGCUUACCAAGGCUUUGACGGGUAGCCGGCCUGAGAGGGUGACCGGCCACAUUGGGACUGAGAUACGGCCCAGACUCCUACGGGAGGCAGCAGUGGGGAAUAUUGCACAAUGGGCGGAAGCCUGAUGCAGCAACGCCGCGUGCGGGAUGACGGCCUUCGGGUUGUAAACCGCUUUCGCCUGUGACGAAGCGUGAGUGACGGUAAUGGGUAAAGAAGCACCGGCUAACUACGUG